GUGAGAGCAGCUGGGUGGGUGACUGGCAGCCAGCUAUGGCUAAACCCCCCCCCCCCCCAUUGCAGGUGGUGUAACCCCACAGCUGAAGGCUGCGCUUCCUCAGCUGUUUUCUGCCAGCCCCAGUGCUGUCCCCUGUCUACACACAGAAAUGUAUCUGGAAAGUCACCGCUCCUGGCUGGCAGUGUCACCAAGGAGGCAGGCCAUGCCAGAAGCUGCUCUAUGAAGCAGGGUCCAGCUCCAUGAACUGCAGUUUGCUCUGCAGAGGUCAGCCUGCUACUGUUGUGUGCUGGCAUCCCACGUCACGAUCCAAAGCUGCAAGAUCCAAGCAGUGACACUGUAAGUAAAAGUGCAAAUAAAUCCUCUGCAUGUUCAACACACCCAUGCAGUUUCUACUGUUCUGCUCCUGGUGUGAGCCAUGGUGCACGGUGCCACUUGGCUUUCCACGUGCGGUUUCGUACAGGCGGUUGCUGCACAGAGCUGGUCUGCAUUGCUCUCCCUUGUGUUCCUCAAGUAGGGAGAUGAUAAAAGCAAAAUUCUUGUAGAUGAUUUUACUGCUUACAGUGAACCUAAAGCACACCAAGAAUGAGGUCAGCCACAGCAAAGGACUUCAGGUGCAAAGGACCGUGAUUUUGUAAAACAACUCAGAAGCUGGGAAAGAAUGACACCUGUCACACCAGUUUUGGAGGGAUGGAUAUGGAUAUCAAACUUUGCAUGUUUUUCAUCAGUGUGCUCUUCAGUGUCUUUCCAGGGGGUCAGUCUGACACACUAGUCUAGUGCAGUUUCCUUUUAUAUAGCUAGUCUGUAAUUCCCAAGGUAAGACAUGAUGCUUAUUUAAUUUCUAAGAAAAAUUAAUAAUUUUAUUUUUCCCCCCUAAUUCUUAGCAUCUCUGUCUUGAACUUGAAAACCUUGAGCCUUUAAAUUGAUUAAUUAAAUUUCCAGAUGUCUGUGAAGACGGGAUGGCUCAAGGCUGCUGCUUUGCAGUCUCAAACAGGAUAGAGAGAGGCUGAGUAUGGUCAGCACGUCCAGUUGGGAGCCAGAUGGGACAAGAGAUACAAGUGAAGACUUCUGACAGUGGCAGCACAGCCUGUCCCAAGGGAACAGGAUAUUCUCUGGAGUUGGCCAAGAUCCAGCAUCACUACUGUACCAGACGUUCAGUGCCUGCUCCAGAACUUCUACUUGCACCAAAGGAUGAGAGGCUGGGAGUGCCAGUAUCUGCCGGGUGCACUCCUCGGAGACAGUUGUGACCAUAGCCUUCAGGGGCUCUAGGGCACGAAUUGUCUUCUUCUGAUGAGCUAAAGAAAGCAGAGGUGGAGUCUCACAAUGAGCAACAAAGCCUGAAUUUUACUCACCUGAGCUGUUGGAUAUUCAACGCCAAAACAGUGCUGGUGGGAAAGGGGACUGAACAUGGAGCUUUUACUGCUUGGCCUGGAUGUAUUUCAGACUGUUGAUACGUGUUUGGCAACCUGGAAUCUCAGAGGAAGAUUCAGGAGCAGUCCUGUGCAAUGGCAAGAAAGUAACUUAUCAAAAUAUACAGAAUUAAUUAAAUGUGCAGUGGAGAUUGAGAGUCUGACCCAUGUGUACCUAAGUGAUCGUAGACACACGGAAGACACUUCAUUCUUAUGAGAAGAUCGUAGCUGGCACAACGUGCCUUCAUGGCACAGUUCCACCGGCAUGAGGAAGCCGUGGAAGUUUGUGCUGUGUGCCUGGCUACAGGGAGGUAUGGAAAAGCGGCAGCAACUGGGAGCCAUGCCCGAGAAGAUCAAACUCUGCUGGCCAGGGACACUCCAGGACCAAGGAGUGGGAUGAAGUGGCCUAUGGUCAGAAUUGCAGAGUGUUUUGAAAGUCUCCAAUAUAUAACAGACCAUUAAACAUAUAGUAACUCA